ensembl:lncRNA
GUGGAUAUGAAGAAGCUUUACAAUCGCUUUUAUUUCUGUCAAGACAGUAAUAAAAGAUCAAUUGAAAAUUGAAAAAUAUAAUAAAAGUCAUCAAAUGUUUUGGAAGCAGAUGUAUACGAACUAUUAAACUAAUGUUUCAAAAGUUCUUGCUUUGAUUUCAUAGAUUGGUUGUGUAAUUUGAUCAAGUUUCGAGCAUGUGCAAUCUGUAAAAAAUGGUACAUUUUGCAAUGGCCAGGUCGAGCAGAAAUAGAUCCAUAAAAUAAAAACUGCACAUUUUAAUUUUUAUUUAUUUAUUUUUUUACAGUGUCAGUCUCUGUUUGAUAAGACACCUGGAUAAUUCAUCUGAUUGUUCUGUCAGAAAGCACAGAGGUCUCUUGUGCUCAGCCUUCCCUGCCUACAGGAGGACCCCCAGCAUGCUUGACAGUCGGGAUAAUAUUUGUGUGGAAUAGGCUGUGUCUGCACUUCUCACCAGCUGUGUCAGUAAGCCACAUCCUACUUCCACAAGAGAUCACAUCAUUUCCUGUUUAUUCAGCCUCCAGGCAAAGAAGCUGAGCAAUCUGAUUGGCCGCUUAACCUGAUAACUGUCAGACAGGUUGACUGAUUGGCCAAUAUGAGACGGUGACUCUGCUCACAUUCACCGGACGGACGCCAUCGACUCUCUCCUGCUCUCUCUUCAUCCCUCUGAAUGGCCGCUGAGUGCUUCCUUUCAGCGUUUAUCAGCUUGAGACAUUUACAGUUUUU